rnacentral:tRNA from 1 species
GAAUCUAUAGCUCAGUCGGUAGAGCAUAUGACUUUUAAUCAUAAGGUCUUGGGUUCGAGUCCCAAUAGAUUCA